AUAUUUAAUUUAAAAAUAACUCAUAUAUUGACGGAAAUAUGGUCCGUAAGUUUCUACAGAUUCGCCGUAAAAGAAUCUACUAUGGGAUAAGUAUGCACUUUA
rnacentral:ncRNA from 1 species